rnacentral:rRNA from 1 species
UACCAGCACCCCGAGUGGUCGGGACGAUUAUUGGGCCUAAAGCAUCCGUAGCCGGUUCUACAAGUCUUCCGCUAAAUCCACCUGCUUAACAGACGGGCUGCGGAGGAUACUAUGGAGCUAGGAGGCGGGAGAGGCAAGCGGUACUUAGUGGGUAGGGGUAAAAUCCGUUGAUCCAUUGAAGACCACCAGUGGCGAAGGCGGCUUGCCAGAACGCACUCGACGGUGAGGGAUGAAAGCUGGGGGAGCAAACCGG